UUGUGGAGCUUCAUUUUCAAAGAUGAAAAAGAUAUUUGAUGCAAUGCAGCUGAGAACACACACGUAUGAUGCCUUCAGAAGACAUUGUGUACAGAAAUGGGUUUUGUUUAGUGAAAGUGUGAGAUCAGGCCUAAUUGCCAGCCAUCAAAAUGCAAAUAAUUACAGUUUUAGGCUGCUCUAACUGAAAGGCACUUGUAACAACACCGGUUAGAGUACAGCUUUGGCACAGCCUACAGGUUUAGCCAAUGCUUUUGCUGUGAGUUAAUAGUAGUAUUUUGCUUGGUGUGUGCUUACAAAAGUGACAAGUGACAAUUGUUACAACAUUUCUGCUGUUUCAUUUAGGUUGUACCUUGCAGCUAUGCAUUUCAAUGAGAAUGCUCAGCACCUACAACGGAAGACAGCCAAGGGGAAACUAAUGUACAGGCUUGUGUUUCCAAAGGCCAAAAGGGGAGGUUACACGGUCAAAAAAGUGAAGACAGAGCCAACGAUUUGCUAUGUCUUUAACCUGAUAAGACUGGUGUUCGAAGAGAUCGUCCAUGACUCCCUUCGUUAUGUGGAUGCCAUCCAGCAGAUUCCUGUGCCCCAAGACUUGUGUGCUCAGCUUCCCAGACCUUCCAGGGAGGAUGCUGUCGCUGAGCAUGUGUCACGGUUCAGUCGAGGGGGGGUCUGAACCCGACAUACUGCCCUGAUG